CUCAGGCGGGGAACCCCUGAGGUGCCUGUGGGGUGCGCUACCAUGCCUCAAGGCUCCUUCGUCAGUACUCGGACACCCCCAAAGACACCGACUGCCACCGCAAAGCCCACGCCAGCGCUAGUAUCAGCGAGGCGCCGCCACCGGGAUGCAUGUGAAUUCAUUCAUUCAUUUUAAAUUGGGAGUGACUGCUGUGGGCCAGGCCUGGAAUGGGAAUGCAGCCAGCCUGGCAAGAGCAUUUUAAUUGGCAUCAACUGAAUGCAAAGUUUGUGUGCUCUUCAACAUUCCUGUUUUGCAGACGCCCCUUCUAUAUACAAUGUCAAGCCAUUCAGGCACCACCAUAAAUUUAGCUCUGACAGACAAUGAGUGUGGCCUCUGUUCCUGCUACCAGCCUUUUGUGACCAUGAAGGAUGCCAAUCUUUAAAUGAAACUGAUGAGGAGGAAGACAAUAUGGAGAAACAAAAAGAAACUGAGACCCUCAUGAUAUGGGUGAACCACUAGAUCAAUCUAUACCUGAAGCCUGCCCUACCACUGAACUUUUCAGUUAAGUCCUUCCUCCACUGGAGUCUUGAACCCCUCCAAGUCAUCCACGAAGACUGGAAUCAACUUCUUCCGAACUUGUGUUCAUGUAAACUGAGGGAAAGGGCUGGCCCUGUGGCUUCUUGGCCAGCAGCAGAGAUGGAAUUUGAGCACUGUGUCUGGCUGCUGAGUCCACGCUCUUAACUCCUAGACUACGUUCCCUUCAGCCCCGACUGAACUUCCAAAAAGAGCCACUCUGAAGCACACAGGAUUCUGCCUCAUCAAGCAAAACACAAAACUGCUGAUGGUCUUCCAGCCACAUUGUAUACCUUAUCUCCUUCAAUCUUCAGAACCUGGGGUGGGGCAUCACUCUUCCUCUUUACGGAUGAGGACACAAAGGCCUAGAAACAUCUAUGUCACACAGGAUAGAGCUGGCUGGUGACAAGAGGCUUCAGUUCCUUACCGUGUGAAUCUCUCUGUAGGACUGCCUACAUGUCCUCAAGACACUGAAGCUGGCUUUCUCCCAGAGUGACUCAUCCAAGGACAGCUAGGAAAACAUUAUAUGGUGGUGGAAAUGUGGAAAUGCUCAGCUUUCAGAGACCUGGGUUCAUUCCGAGCAGAGCUAAGAAGGGCCUCAGGAGAUGAGGCAAGUUUUUCAAAAUUGAAGUAAAAAAAAAAAAAAAAAGGAAUUAGGAAUUUUAUAGGACUGCUUUCUCUCUGAGAUCCCUUUAGUACAAUGAAUUCGUUUCCGGUUUCCAAAGAUUUCCACUAUUGAAUGUCUCUAGCUUUAAUAUGGGAAUAAUAGCACUCAAAUUCUCUCUUUGUCACUCGGGGGCUCUCCGUCGAGUGCUAAAAUUGCUCAUUUCGCUUGUGGAAGGGAGGGUCCCUGAGUCACCGAAUCGAUGGAACGGAUUUUACGAGCUGGUUUGUACCAGUGAGGUGUUCUAGAAUAAUGACUUGCUUAAAGAACUAUUUGGCUUCUCAAAAUGGAAGUCUUAUCCAUUUGACCAGUAAAGUUAACACAGAAACCCCCAAGGCGGGUGGGGUGGGGGAGCUGUCACAGCCCACCUGGAAAUAAAUGUUAGGGCUAAUGAACAAGGACACUGACUUGUGUUUUAGUUGUCAAAGACUGUUACUUUUUAUUUAUUUAUUUUAGAUCACAGCCUUUAAAAAAUGCUCUGUGGGGUAGAAGAAUAACAUGAUCCACAUUGGCCGGAGGAAACUGGGGCAGUAGGGCUUUGGCGACUGACUUGUCCUGAGCUUGUGACAAGCUAAUGAAAGAACCAAAAUUAGAAUCCCUAAGUUCCUGCCCCUUCUUCUCCUUGCCCCGCUGACCCCUCUUCAUUCCAGGCAAAAGCACUUCAUUUUACCAUUUCCUGUUUGGUCUCCCAGGGAAUUCAGCCCCUCCUUACUCCUUUUGUCCAGACCU